GGAUCUGCUGGUGGAACUGGAGAGCUUCGAUCCCGGCCAGCCUGGUGAUGGCUGUCUCACUGCCUACCCAGUGAUUCCAAAACAGCCCUGUAGGAGGUGCAUCCCUCCCCUGGCCAACCUCUGCCUCCCUGUCAUGUGCUCUCGGUGGUCCAUCCCAGUCUUCUGGACACAGGCACAGUGUCCCGGAGAGGCUCCAGGCGGCCUGGGGAGCAGGCACUCCUCCCAGGUGGAGGGGUCCCCGUGGAGUGCAUGUCCCUGGUCACAUCAGGGUCAGUACUCCCAUGAGUCCGAGAGGGACCCUGACAUCUGGUAUGAAGGACACACCUGGCAGUGUCCUAGGGACCAGCAACGCCUGAACUGCUGUCAUUUCCUAGACUUCACCCCAAAGCUCUCCACCAAAUUAGGGUCAUCAGCUGAGCCAGGGACGCUUCCCAAGCUUGAGGAGUCUUAAAUAUUGUCACCUGCUAAUAAAGGGUGUGACCCCCAUUCCCUCCACAUGUCUUCCAUGACGGACAAAGCACAUUCACAGCAGCCCAGACCCCAGCCCACUCUUCAGGGCCCUUCCCAGGGGUGGGAAGAGGUCUAUCUUUGGUAAGUGAGACUCACAUUCGAACCCAGAGCUUCUGGGAGCUGGGAAAAGUAUUGAGCCUCUCCAAGCUUCCAUCCCUUUGUGUGGACACAUGCUUCCAUGCUUCCAUUUCUCCUGACUAUAGGCCUAGGAACAGGAUUGAGGAGAAUUGCUUGGUCUUAAUGCUGUCUGUUUACCUUUGUGUAUGUGUGUGUGUGCAUGUGUGUGCACGUGUGUGUGUGUCAGUGUG